rnacentral:rRNA from 1 species
UAGGACAAUGGGCGAAAGCCUGAUCCAGCCAUGCCGCGUGAGUGAAGAAGGCCUUCGGGUUGUAAAGCUCUUUCAGCCGGAAAGAAAUCGCGCAGGCUAAUACUCUGCGUGGAUGACGGUACCGGAAGAAGAAGCACCGGCUAACUACGUGCCAGCAGCCGCGGUAAUAAA